AGACGGCCCUGGCGGCGCUGUGUUGCUGUAAACAGCCGCUUCCCUGUUACUAUCUAUAGCAGGAUCGCCUGGCUCCCGGGAGCGGCGGCUGUAGGCAGGUCUGCGGUCCCGCUCCCCGCGCGCCCCGAACGAUCCGCCCGCGGGCCUCAUCCUGCCUCGCACGUCUCCAGCCCCGUGUUCCAGGACCUGGAGAAGCGCUGGGGUCCCAGCGGUCGAGGUAUUCCGCCUGGGCGCUGUGGACACUGUCCUUCCAGCCCCCGUCCUCCCCCCCCCUUCAAGUCCGCGCUGGAAAAUCACCCGCUGCGGACUCCCGUAAGCACAGCUUCCUGGCGGGACCGAACCAGCCCCCCAGCGCAGAUUUUGAGUUCCCCGCAAGAAGCACACCCCACCUUGUCAUCCUAAACUGACCACCCUGCCCACAUAACCAACCCCCGCACUCCCUAGCCCUGGGCCCCAGCUCAGGACUGGGCAAAUGCCCCCUUCAAAUGUCUUCGCAUCCAGGUUUUGCACAAUGUUUAUCUGCUAGUGUCUCAGGGAUUUGACAGUUUCGUUAAUAUUCCCACACAUGGCCGAGAAAAAUAAAUAAAUAAAUGCGCUGUCUUCCUUAAAAAAACAAAGUACCCAGUAUCGUAGAUAAA